GACGAACGCUGGCGGCGUGCUUAACACAUGCAAGUCGAACGAAGUGGCGAACGGGUGAGUAAUACGUGGGUAACCUGCCCUCCUUUUUGGGAUAAGCCUUGGAAACGGGGUCUAAUACCGAAUAAAGGGGGAUGGGCUCGCGGCCUAUCAGCUUGUUGGUGGGGUGAUGGCCUACCAAGGCGGUGACGGGUAGCCGGCCUGAGAGGGUGACCGGGCACAGUGGGACUGUGAAACGGCCCAGACUCCUAACGGGGGCAGCAAGGGGGGGUAAUGGAAAAUGGGCGAAGGGCUAAGGCAGCGACGCCGCGAGGGGGGUGAAGGCUUUCGGGUUUUAAACCUCUUUCGCGAGCGAAAGGGUAGGUGGAGAAGAAGCGCCGGCUAACUACGUGCCAGCAGCCGCGGUAAUAC
rnacentral:rRNA from 1 species